AUCAUAUUCAAGAAGACUUGAGGCUGUAAUUGCUGCCAAAGUGCAUCAACAGAGUGUUGAGCAAAGGGUGUGAAUACUUAUGUACAUGUGAUUUCAUAGUUUUUAUUUUUAUUAAAUUUGC